GGCCGUAACGAUGAGUGCCUAGUGUUAGAGGGUUUCCGCCUUUAGUGCUGAAGUUAACGCAUUAAGCACUCCGCCUGGGGAGUACGGCCGCAAGGCUGAAACUCAAAGGAAUUGACGGGGGCCCGCACAAGCGGUGGAGGCAUGUGGUUUAAUUCGAAGCAACGCGAAGAACCUUACCAGGUCUUGACAUCCUCUGAAAACCCUAGAGAUAGGGCUUCUCCUUCGGGAGCAGAGUGACAGGUGGUGCAUGGUUGUCGUCAGCUCGUGUCGUGAGAUGUUGGGUUAAGUCCCGCAACGAGCGCAACCCUUGAUCUUAGUUGCCAUCAUUAAGUUGGGCACUCUAAGGUGACUGCCGGUGACAAACCGGAGGAAGGUGGGGAUGACGUCAAAUCAUCAUGCCCCUUAUGACCUGGGCUACACACGUGCUACAAUGGACGGUACAAAGAGCUGCAAGACCGCGAGGUGGAGCUAAUCUCAUAAAACCGUUCUCAGUUCGGAUUGUAGGCUGCAACUCGCCUACAUGAAGCUGGAAUCGCUAGUAAUCGCGGAUCAGCAUGCCGCGGUGAAUACGUUCCCGG
rnacentral:rRNA from 1 species